GAGCCUCCCCCUCCACCCCCACGAGCUCGCGCUCGCGCUCGCCUGCUCCCCACCAAAACCCUAAGCCCCCACCCUGCCCCCCCGCUCCAACCUGAGCUCGGCAAUGUCGUCGUCGUCGAGAUCGACGCGCGCCAGCAUCUCCCCGUUCCGAUCCCGCCGUUCGCCUGCGGUGGCGGCGCCCGCGGCGCCUCCGCCGACGAGGACCUCGUCGGGAG
rnacentral:lncRNA from 1 species